rnacentral:rRNA from 1 species
UACGUAGGGACCAAGCGUUGUCCGGAAUCCAUUGGGCGUAAAGAGCGUGUAGGCGGCUUGUUAAGUCUUGCGUGAAAUCUCGGGGCUCAACCCCGAGCGGUCGUGAGAAACUGGCAGGCUAGAGUCCGGAAGAGGAGAGUGGAAUUCCUGGUGUGAGCGGUGAAAUGCGCAGAUAUCAGGAAGAACACCCGUGGCAAGGCGGCUCUCUAGUACGGUACUCGACGCUGAGACGCGAAAGCGUGGGGAGCGAACAGG